rnacentral:lncRNA from 1 species
UAGUGGAGACGGGGUUUCAUCGUGUUGGCCAGGCUGGUCUCGAACUCCUGACCUCAGGUGAUCCCCCGCCGUCCAGAUUUUGAACAAAUCUCUCUAGGGAUUGAACAGAGCUGCGCCUGGAUCCUGCCACAGUGAGGAGACCUGAAGACCAGAGGAAGCACAGCAAGCCCUUGGAUCCUCCUGGAAUCCCCGAUCCCUGUUGCUCCCUUGCGGAGUUUUCUAGUCCGUCUUAUUUGAAGUAUGUCUUUCAGAGCCUCACACCACCCAGCUUGGGUAUGUGGUGAAUUCUAUGGUCUGCAUGUCCAUGUUUGUGACAUUCUGGGAAGGGUGGCCCAGGCUGUGAUUUGCCAUCUACUGCUGCAGGCUAUGAAUGGUAUUUAGAAGGGAGGGGAGUUGCUGUGUGCGUCUUCUGAAGGGUUUCUCACUAAAUGGAGAGACUGACUCUCUCCAUAACUAUUUGAUUUUUACUUUAUCUCCUUGUUGACUUCACAGUGUAAGUGCAGUUUGUCUCUACUGGGUGAUGCAUGCAUAUAAAGGUUUAUGUGAACACAUGAAUCUGCAUGUGUGGGUGAACUCUCCACAUCAUGUCAUUUAUUGUCCAUCAUUACAUAUCUGUGGUGUCUAGCACAUUCCUCUACCUUAUUUUCUGUCAUUGUACCUACUUCUA